rnacentral:rRNA from 2 species
GAACUUGCCUCACAGCUAGGGACAACAUUUAGAAAUGAAUGCUAAUACCUGAUAUUAUGAUUUUAAGGCAUCUUAGAAUUAUGAAAGCUAUAUGCACUGUGAGAGAGCUUUGCGUCCCAUUAGCUAGUUGGAGAGGUAACAGCUCACCAAGGCGAUGAUGGGUAGCCGGCCUGAGAGGGUGAACGGCCACAAGGGGACUGAGACACGGCCCUUACUCCUACGGGAGGCAGCAGUGGGGAAUAUUGGACAAUGGACCGAGAGUCUGAUCCAGCAAUUCUGUGUGCACGAUGAAGUUUUUCGGAAUGUAAAGUGCUUUCAGUUGGGAAGAAAUAAAUGACGGUACCAACAGAAGAAGUGACGGCUAAAUACGUGCCAGCAGCCGCGGUAAUACGUAUGUCACGAGCGUUAUCCGGAUUUAUUGGGCGUAAAGCGCGUCUAGGUGGUUAUGUAAGUCUGAUGUGAAAAUGCAGGGCUCAACUCUGUAUUGCGUUGGAAACUGUAUAACUAGAGUACUGGAGAGGUAAGCGGAACUACAAGUGUAGAGGUGAAAUUCGUAGAUAUUUGUAGGAAUGCCGAUGGGGAAGCCAGCUUACUGGACAGAUACUGACGCUAAAGCGCGAAAGCGUGGGUAGCAAAC